rnacentral:rRNA from 1 species
CCCUUAGAUGUUCUGGGCCGCACGCGCGCUACACUGAUGCAUUCAACGAGUCUAAAACCUGCUCUGAUAGGGGUGGGUAAUCUUUUGAAUGUGCAUCGUGAUUGGGAUAGAUGAUUGCAAUUUUUCGUCUUCAACGAGGAAUGCCUAGUAAACGCAAGUCAUCAGCUUGCAUUGAUUACGUCCCUGCCCUUUGUACACACCGCCCGUCGCUCCUACCGAUUGAAUGAUCCGAUGAAUAUCAUGGAUUGAGGAUGCAAGUAGGUUCGCCUAUCUUCAUCUUCGAGAAGUGAAGUAAAUCUUAUCAUUUAGAGGAAGGAGAAGUCGUAACA